rnacentral:misc_RNA from 1 species
CAAUGAGUGUUUUAUGGCACUUUUUUAAAUCCAUAUCCACCUUGUGUGCAAUGUCAGGGUUGAUUUUCUCUCGAGAGGAUCAGCCCCAAACAUCAACUAUAUCUCAACUCUUUGUCUGAAAAAUAUUAUGAAUAAAACAAUUCAAAAUA